rnacentral:rRNA from 1 species
AAUAAUUUAUUUGAUGGUUUCUUACUACACGGAUAACUGUAGUAAUUCUAGAGCUAAUACGUGCGUAAAAUCUCGACUCUUGCGGGGAGAGAUGUAUUUAUUAGAUAAAAAACCAAUGCGGACUUUGUCCGGUUUUGUGGUGAAUCAUAGUAACUUUUCGAAUCGCAUGGCUUCACGCUGGCGAUAGUUCAUUCAAAUUUCUGCCCUAUCAGCUUUCGACGGUAGUGUAGUGGACUACCGUGGCAUUAACGGGUAACGGAGAAUUAGGGUUCGAUUCCGGAGAGGGAGCCUGAGAAACGGCUACCACA